rnacentral:rRNA from 1 species
UACGUAGGGGGCAAGCGUUGUCCGGAUUCAUUGGGCGUAAAGAGCGUGUAGGCGGCCAGGUAGGUCGGUUGUGAAAACUGGAGGCUCAACCUUCAGACGUCGACCGAAACCAUCUGGCUAGAGUCCGGGAGAGGAGAGUGGAAGUUCCUGGUGUAGCGGUGAAAUGCGCAGAUAUCAGGAAGAACACCCGUGGCGAAAGCGGCUCUCUGGAACGGUACUGACGCUGAGGUGCGAAAGCGUGGGGAGCAAACAGG